GACGAACGCUGGCGGCGUGCUUAACACAUGCAAGUCGAACGGAAAGGCCUGCUUUCCCUUGUGGAUUGCGGGUACUCGAGUGGCGAACGGGUGAGUAACACGUGAGUGAUCUGCCCCCAACUUGGGUAUAAGCCUGGGAAACUGGGUCUAAUUCCCGAUAGGACUGCAGGGUGGUGCCUGUGGUGGAAAACGAUUUUCUAGUGGUUGGGGAUGAGCUCGCGGCCUAUCAGCUUGUUGGUGGGGUAAUGGCCUACCAAGGCGGCGACGGGUAGCCGGCCUGAGAGGGUGGACGGCCACAUUGGGACUGAGAUCCGGCCCAGACUCCUACGGGAGGCAGCCGUGGGGAAUAUUGCACCAUGGGCGGAAGCCUGAUGCAGCGACGCCGCGUGGGGGAUGACGGCCUUCGGGUUGUAAACUCCUUUCGACCGCGAGGAAGCCACCUGGUUGGAAGGGUGGUGACGGUAGUGGUAGAAGAAGCACCGGCUAACUACGUG
rnacentral:rRNA from 1 species